GUCCAGCUUAUUUGGUUAGAGUGCUGCACUGGUAUUGCAGGGCCACUGGUUCAAUUCCUGUCAGAGGACC